rnacentral:lncRNA from 1 species
GAAAAAGUUAUUCCUCUUUGUUUUAUUUCAGUAUUUGUUGUUUCUUUUGUCCGGAGAUCUCCCACAUUUUUCGACUGAUCUCUUUGAAACUUAAUAGGAUAUAUUAUAAUGAUAUGUAGUUGUGUUUCGCUGAACGGCAUUUUGCUUCGACUAUUUUUGCAAAAGAUAUUCCCAUUUGUUUAUUUCAGUGUUUGAUUUUUGUCCCGAGAUCUCCUACAACAUUUCUCGACCGACUUCUUUGAAACUUGAUCGUGUCUGACCUGGGUGGACCACGAAAAGAAUUUUGCCGUUUAGUAUUGAUGGGCAUCAAAGAAAAAUACUUUGAUCAUGAUCUUAGGAGUUUGCUCUGUGAAGACCAUAUGUCACCAUGACCACUAGCAAGAUAUUUGGACUGCCUUCUGAGAUCAGCAUACAGAAAGCUUACAGCAAGGGCGUUGACACAUUAUUUGAAGCCGAAGUUUUCAGAGACAAGUUCCAACAGCAGGAUCCUAGAGGGAGCAGUAUACGCUGCCUUUAUGAGAUAUGUUUGUGAAGUUGCCAGUGGAAGAGGAGGUGUGACAUUAUCACAGAUUUUGGAGUUUGUAACGGCAGCCAGCGAGGAGCCUGCGUUGGGUUUUUCCAUUGGCCUUUCUAUCGAAUUUGUAGUGAUGAGUACCAGUUUCAUUCCAACUGCUGUAUAUAUCUACCAAGAUAAACGACAACAGUGAAAUUGCCUGAAGAUGAGCAAUUGUUUAGCUUGUACGACUACGCGUUCCAAAAUAAAUAUUUUGGAAUACUAUAAGGCAGUGCAUCUUGGCUGAGAAACGUUAUACAUAUACCUGUUAAUUGACUGUUUUUGAAGGACAAACAAAAAUGUCAUUAUUUGAUUUUCAUACAUUGUUGAAGUGAAAAACAGAAAAUCUGCUUUGGCAUUAAAACUAAAAUAUGCAGUUUUGUAAUGCAAGGAAGAAUUAAUAUACAAUAGAUUAUAAUUAUUUGUGAGAAAAAAGUACUGAUUUCAAUAAAACUUUGUAGUGAUGUACUUGUGGUAAUGGUCUGUGUGUUUCUGCGUUGACAGGUUGUUUGUCGUCCAUCUGUCCAUUAUCAACUCUUUUAUACAUACAAGCCUUUGUCAGUCAUCCAAGAUUAUACAGUACAUGUUUAUCUGUGGUCAAUUAGAUCAAAUUGCAUUAUAUAUUCAACCAACCAACUUUCAGAAUCACCAGACUAAGGUAAAAUCAGUAAUAACCAUACCUGUGGUAAUGAUCGGAUUCUGUACUCAAAAAAGUGUUUACUCUUGAUGUGGCAGCUGAGCAGGGAAAUUGGGUAAAGUCAAGGUUAUCUUGGCUACAGUUACUUGGGUGAUCAUUAAGACCCAUAGGCCUCUUGUAUUUGAAAAAUAUUGUAAGGGUCUGGGCAAUAUAUUGUUAAAUCAGCCCACAUGGUUAAAUGGGAUUUUGUCAGAGGGAAAAGCUCCUAACAAGCAAAAUGGGUGCAGGUUAAGCUACAAAAUUCUAUCAUACUAGAAAUUGGAAAUCUUGAGUUUAUGUGGAUGAGGCAGUAAUUAGAUAUUUCUGAGUAUAUUGUGACAACUAACAAGACAGUACUCACUGUGAAGCACUGAUUGUAUUAAUGUAACAUCAAAACUAACUUUAUUUCAAAAUCCAGGUGUCGGAGUGAUACUGGCUCAUAGGGCAUCGUUUUAUAUACUUAUUCUACAUGUAUAUAGUUUGCUCUACUUUUAUCAUACCAGUAAGGCCUAUUGUUUUAGCUUUUCCUAACUUUUAGUUGAUAUAUUCCAUGUGUCACUUUAAAUAGCUAAAGCUUUUUUAUGACAAUAUUUCACCAAUCUGAAGUCAACAAGUAAUUAUUAUGAAUUUAAUUUUCGACAAAAACGUUUGCUUAAAGGACAUCACUUGAACUUGUAUGUUUGAAGAACUUGUGAUUUUAUAUUGAUAUCAUUUGUUUUUAAUAGAAACUAUAGUAACAUGGAUAGAAAUUUAGAGUAAUGACAUUUGGAGUAAUAAUAGUUUUUAUUAUACGCCCGUCGAAAUUCAACGGGCAUAUUAUGGCAUUGCGUCUGCAUCCGUUCGUCCGGUUAAAAUUUUGGUGCAAGUUUCUACAGUGGUCUACAGUUCAGUCAGAUGAUGUGUUAUUGUCCUAAUUUUUGGCAUGGAUGAUCUUGUUGGGUCUUAAAAGGACAGUAUGGGUUUUUUUUCGUUUUUUUUUAUGUGUUUGGGACUUAAUAUUCCACAGGCGAUUUCUCGGUUAAAGUUUUGGUGACAUGACACUGGCUACCAGGUACUUUAAAAUAUCAAACAAACAAAAAUUCAUUGGAAAGGCGUAUUAUUUGCAUAUGUUUGCGUUGUUAUAAUUAUACCC